UGGACAGAUUAUUGUAUUCAACUGUAUUCACAGCGUGAAAUAGGGGAUUACAAUGUUUUUAAAACGGAAAGUGAAUCAAUUAACAUAAUAGACUCCU
rnacentral:pre_miRNA from 1 species